rnacentral:rRNA from 1 species
UAGGGAAUCUUCCACAAUGGACGCAAGUCUGAUGGAGCAACGGCCGCGUGAGUGAAGAAGGUUUUCGGACCGUAAAGCUCUGUUGUUGGUGAAGAAGGAUAGAGGUAGUAACUGGCCUUUAUUUGACGGUAAUCAACCAGAAAGUCACGGCUAACUACGUGCCAGCAGCCGCGGUAAUCGUAGGUGGCAAGCGUUGUCCGGAUUUAUUGGGCGUAAAGCGAGCGCAGGCGGAAGAAUAAGUCUGAUGUGAAAGCCCUCGGCUUAACCGAGGAAUUGCAUCGGAAACUGUUUUCUUGAGUGCAGAAGAGGAGAGUGGAACUCCAUGUGUAGCGGUGGAAUGCGUAGAUAUAUGGAAGAACACCAGUGGCGAAGGCGGCUCUCUGGUCUGCAACUGACGCUGAGGCUCGAAAGCAUGGGGUAGCGAACAGGA